AUACGGAGGGGGCAAGCGUUGUUCGGAAUUACUGGGCGUAAAGCGCGCGUAGGCGGACUAUCAAGUCAGGGGUGAAAGGCCUGGGCUCAACCCGGGAACUGCCUUUGAAACUGAAAGUCUAGAGUCCGAGAGAGGAUAGCGGAAUUCCCAGUGUAGAGGUGAAAUUCGUAGAUAUUGGGAAGAACACCAGUGGCGAAGGCGGCUAUCUGGCUCGGUACUGACGCUGAGGCGCGAAAGCGUGGGGAGCAAACAGGAUUAGAAACCCCGGUAGUCC
rnacentral:rRNA from 1 species